rnacentral:lncRNA from 1 species
UGUUUGUCACAGACCACAGUGGAGCCAGCGCCAUCUUGUAAUGGCGACCAUAGUCUGCAGAAACGGCAGAAGCGGCUCACCACAAAAUUAAAAGGUUUUUGCAAAAGAAACAAGUACAUGAAGGGAGAACCUACAGAAUGGGAGAAAAUUUUACUCUUCCAACAAAAGAUUAAUGCCUAGAGUAAAGAACUUGAAAAAACUUACCAUUUUAAAAGUCUAAUAAAUGGGUUAAUGAACUAAACACACAUUUCUCAAAAGAAAUCCAAAUGACCAACAAAUUAUGAAAAAAAAGUUCAGUAUCUUUAGCCAUGGCAGCCAUCAAGCAAACAAAUUAUAAUAAAUCCUGGAGAGGAUGUGAGUAAAAGGAACAUUUCUUCACUGUCUGGGGAUUGUAAAUUAGUACAACUACUAUGGAAACCAGUAUGGUACUCAAAAGAACUAAGAAUGGAAAUACCAUAUGACCCAGCUAUAACACUCCUUGGUAUUUAUGCUAAGGAAUUGAAGUCAUCAUACCCAUGUUUAUAGCAGCACCAUCCACAAAGCCAAAUUAUGGAACCAGCCUAUAUAUCCGUCAAUGGAUGAACAGAUGGAGAAAAUGUGGCAUAUACCCACAAUGGAUUUUUAUUCUUCCAUGAAGAAGAAUGAAUUAUGUCAUUCUUGGAAAAAUUGUUGGGUCUUCAGAGCAUUAUUUUGAACAAAAUAAGCCAGGCUUAGAAAGUCUAGGGUCAUAUGUUUUCUUUCAUAUAUGGAAGCUAAAGAGAAAAAAAGGGUCAGGAGAUCUCAUGAAAAUAGAAUGAAGACUAGUAAACGAAGUGGGGAAGGGAAAAGGGGAGGAGAAAGAAAGGGGAAAUAUUGGUGAAUGGAAAUGCCCAAAUUAUAUUUUUCUAUUGUGUGCAUGUGCAAAUAUGUAACAAUGAAUCCUGCUAUUCUGUAUAAUUAGAAUGCAC